UUACGGUUUUUUUUUUAUUGUAAUUUUAAUCAAUGACUUAUGUGAUACCGUUACGAUUAUUUAUCAGUUAGACACUUCUUGCAAUUAAUUGUGUUUGAUUCAAGGACUACCUGAAGUAAGUCGAUUGCAUUAUCAAGGUGCAGGAUAUCCGCACGUCCCUUGUAAUGUGACGUCACGUCACUGUUAUCUGAUAAGUGAUAAGGAGAUGUCAACAAAGAUUAACAUACAUCCAUAGUCGUCUAACUUGCCCUGCCAGUGGGUGCCAGGUGUCAUACGCGAUAAAUAAUGUGUAUGUAAAGGUAUUUGUGUGCAUAAAGGUUGGACUGACAAAGUAUCAAUGAUUUUCAUCGGAUAGCAGACAUCGCUUGGCGUGGGAAUUACUAGGGCGACCGAGCGCCCCCAACAACUGGCAAGGCUUCGUGCAACCGCACACUUAUCUGUUAACUAAACUGUUUGUUGGCGGACCGAUGUCAGGUUAUUCGCUUUGAUUGACACCGGUCAUUUUAAUACCAGGUGGAGAGAGUUUUGUACAUAUUAUUAUUUCUAGGGUACGGGGGCUCAUGAUGACGAUGCGAGGAGACAAAUGAUGGUGGUUGCGGGAGAGGACUAUGUGGUGAGUCAGGCCAGUGACCGCGGCACGUGGCCGCGAGAUGAGCGCGUCGGGCCGGGGAGAGACGGCGCGCGGCGGCUGUCAUUGAUUUUCCCCGUUUCCCCCCUACCCCGAGCCUGGCUCCCUCCCCACCGCGUCUCACCCACUUCCAGCGCCCGAUAACGAGGUUAACGGGCGACGUGAGCGUCUGCCUAGGGUUGCCACAAUUUUUUUUGUAAGGAAAUGUAGGACUUUCUAAUGAACUGUCAAAAACCUACUAAUUAGGGUACAUCUUAAAAAAAAUUACGGCCCAUUUUUGUUUUGCUUGUGUCCGUAAGUAGUUAGCCUAUAUUUUUGUAAACGAGGUAUUUGAGGAACAGUGCUAGGUUUUGCAUGAUGAAGGGGGCAAGCACAAGAACCAUUAAUCUAUAUUUCUAUACUAAUAUAUAAAGCUGAAGAGUUUGUUUGUUUGAACGCGCAUAUCUCAGGAACUACUGGUCCAAAUUGAAAAAUUAUUUAUGUAUUGAAUAGACCAUUCAUCGAGGAAGGUUUUGGCUAUGUACCAUCACACUGCGAAUAAUUAGAGCGAAGAUACAAUGAAAAUUGUGGAAAAAACAGGGCAGGUAUGAAUCAUAACUUAUAUCUUCUA